rnacentral:rRNA from 1 species
UAGUGGCGAACGGGUGAGUAACACGUGGGCAAUCUGCCCUUCACUCUGGGACAAGCCCUGGAAACGGGGUCUAAUACCGGAUAUCACUCCUGCAGGCAUCUGCGGGAGUUGAAAGCUCCGGCGGUGAAGGAUGAGCCCGCGGCCUAUCAGCUUGUUGGUGAGGUAAUGGCUCACCAAGGCGACGACGGGUAGCCGGCCUGAGAGGGCGACCGGCCACACUGGGACUGAGACACGGCCCAGACUCCUACGGGAGGCAGCAGUGGGGAAUAUUGCACAAUGGGCGAAAGCCUGAUGCAGCGACGCCGCGUGAGGGAUGACGGCCUUCGGGUUGUAAACCUCUUUCAGCAGGGAAGAAGCGAAAGUGACGGUACCUGCAGAAGAAGCGCCGGCUAACUACGUGCCAGCAGCCGCGGUAAUACGUAGGGCGCAAGCGUUGUCCGGAAUUAUUGGGCGUAAAGAGCUCGUAGGCGGCUUGUCACGUCGGGUGUGAAAGCCCGGGGCUUAACCCCGGGUCUGCAUUCGAUACGGGGCUAGCUAGAGUGUGGNAGGGGAGAUCGGAAUUCCU